AUCACGAUAUCAAUGCAGCGGAAUUUAUCUGAAAUCCUCCCGUCACCUGUCAAAAAAGGCAAUCUAUUCCAUCAUCGGUUGAUCAAUGCAGAUAUACAUCACGAAUUCAUGAGUCGUUUCUUCAUCGCUGCCAUUCAUGCUUUCCCGUGAUGUAGCAAAACGUUUUCACUUAUCACGAUUGAGCGAGGUGAUUCUUAGCCCUCAUCGAACAAUGGGAUCGGUGACAAUAUGGCUAUUGUACGGGUUAUCUUCCACGCUCUGCAUGACAGGCCACUCGCUGAAGUGUGCUUCAUGCAAGCCUGAUCACGAUCCGGAGAUAGCCGAGACCAAUAAGCUGCUAGUGGAUGGCAAGUACAGCAUCGUAGAGUCGGAGGGCAAGAUGUUUAAGCAAAACUAUUCCACUUGGCCGCUCUGCCAAGAGGUGAACGACAAAACGGACUAUGGAGCAAUCACGCUGGAAUGCCCCACAGAUGGUGAUUGGGUAUGCGGCUUCGCUUGGGCGGCCGCGGAGCAGUACGCCACCAGGGGGUGCGUCCUGAGACAGGAAGGCUUCAACAUGGACAAGUGCGUGCGGAAGAAUGUGCUAGACGAUAUGGGGCAGGUAGAGUGCUCCUUCUUGCUUCAUUACUGCGAGAAGGACCUAUGCAAUAAGCAGUCCAAGAAGCAGCUACGCCUGUGCGCCGGGAAGAGCCGAGCGGAAACUAUCGUAGCGACGCCUUCACUAAUUUUGUUGGAAUUCGCGUUCGUCGUUGCUGGAUGGCUAUUCUAAGCAUCCUUCAGGCGUUAAAAGCCAACUCAAGACACGCAUGAAGCAAUAUGUUAGAAUCAGCCGUGGUGCCUGCCAGCCGGCUUGUGGUGUUGGUGCGUCUAGGAAAGUGUGUAUGCGAACGUCUGCCAACAUUGUACCGCUCACCGCGGUGCACUUAAGAGCUACAAUACGCCACAGGACAGCGCUGGCGGCCGUGGGCAGAGACCAAACACGGCAGCAAACCAAGCGGCGCCCGCCAGCCAGCUUCGAGAAGGCGCCCGGGCCAGACAGGCAAUGCUUUGGAACACCGUGCAUGAUGUUGACGGAAGGUACAGGACUAUAUACCUUCUGUUCAUGUUUUGUUUAGCGUUACAGCUAGCGAUCUGGCGUUAAAGAUCUGAUGAUCUAGUGAUCUAGCGUUAGCGAUCUUGUUCGCACGUCGCAUGUUUGAGUUUCAGCACCAAACAGCUGAGCCUGGACGAGAUUUGUCGCGCGUGAAAUGCGCCCCCUCGCCACCGUCCCGUACCAAGCGUUUCCAUUGGGCCCGGUUUCAUCUUGCCGCGCAAAUGCAACGGAUAUGUAUUUCAGCAUUCAGCUAAGCUAAACGCGACCUACAAACAUAUGCUGAUGAUGAAGACAAAGUAGGCUUACGAAAGACGGCUCGCCAAUAUGUCGAGCUUUUGGAUCCACACAUCCAGCAUCUGGUACCAGUAGGUCGCUAUAAUCCUAGCCCUGUGCAUAUGCGUAUGAUGCAAACAUCUUCGCAUCGUAGCCGGCAAGCCAUUCAAAUCGUGGGCACUGGACAGGUGUAAGUGUCUCUGGUGUCUAAAGGUAUCUCCUAAAUCCAUCCACACAUCGUAACGCAAUUUCGGGUAAUUAAGUGUUAAGCUCCUGUGCCCGGCGAUAAAAGCUCAAGGUUACAUGCCUCAACACGCUGCCGCCUCAUCUCGCUUGUUUGUAUUUUUGUCUAGGAACAAAAUUACAGACCGUCCGGGAAAAUAUGCUCUGGCAACGUCCCAUGUAAAUGUAGUUCGCCAUUUGAUACAAAACAUGACACUUGAGUGAUGCUAUUCGAUAUGAUGCGUAGCUCAGUUCAGUUUACCUAAACAGAUACAGGCAGGGACACGGAACAAACGCAGUGCCCUGGCACAGCGAAUAAUCUAAAGGAACAGGAUACCCGGCUGCCGCACUAGGGUUGCGGAUCGUCACUUGCCCUCCUAACGCAGCAUUAAAGAUAUUCACGUACUACGCAGUGCCCAACAGGCCAGGCUUUACCCGGUUACCAGGCCGUACUGUUUGGCACCUAUGAGGAUAAAAAAUACUCCGCAUCCUCCCUUCCAUAAAGCCCUGGAAGGUUGGUCGGUGCUCUUAAGCUCGUAUUGUUCAUCACAUAUACGGUAGCCCUGCCAUUAAUGGAACUUCUGAGUGUGGCAAUACGGCACAGCCUGGGAUUGCAAGCAAAAUUCAGCAACGCCACGACGCACGCACGUUGCCAUACCCUGCAUUUGAUAAAGUGUUGCACCCUGGGACACAUUCCCCAGUAAGCCCGCACCGGCGCCUUUUGCACUCAGUGCUGCCCUCUCCACCCUCGCGCCCAUUCUACAGGCUCCACUCUUCAUUCCGCUCAUUGCAC
rnacentral:lncRNA from 1 species